CUCUAUUUCGCCCUCUCUCUGUCUCUGUCUCUGUCUCUGUCUCUGUCUGGAUUCAAAUUCUCAGAAUUGAAAACUACUCCUCUGUAAUCUAUUUGAAAGCCAUUCAGCGUACGAAUAAUGGAUCAAAUUUCUUGAUAAACCCAUUAGUCCAAUUUACUAGUGAAAUUCAUGAUAUGCUCGCCACUCCCAAGAUCGAAACCCUAGGAUUAUCUACUUUUUCGAUCCCAAACCCUCUCUUAUUAAUAUCUAAACCAUAACCAGAGAUCUCGUGGGUUGCGCUGGAUUCUGGAAUCUGGAUAGCCUAGUUCAACACUGGGUUCGUCGGUAAGUGUGUUGCUACCGAAACCCUAGUUUUUUUUGUUUGUUUUUAAUUUCGAUUUUUUUUUCUCUCUCCUUAACUUAUCAAUUUCAUCUUAUUAGUAAGUUUUUUAUUUCAAAAACAGAGAGAAUUGAUUUCAAAAUUUGAACAAUUUAAUGGGUGUAAUUUGUUCAAAAUAGUAAAAACAAAGAGUGUUAUCAUUGCUAUAAGCUUUAUUGAUGGCUUUUAUUAUAACGAAAUCUUUUCUACUCGUGUCAUGGAGUUGAUUUUCGGACAAGUUUAGAUAUUCAGUGAACAUCUCACUGAAUAUUUGUAAUUUAAUGGAGUAUUUCUUUCAUAUUUGAUGCAAUGGUUGAUAAAAUGUGAUGAAAGAAUAAUAAUGGUACAAUGAGAUUUGUAACAUUACUAGUUAUUUUAAAUUAGUGAAAACAUGUCUGUCAUAAGCCAGUGAAAAUCCAUUAGCAUGAUAUCAUCAUAGAUACUGCCAUCAAUAGCUUAAUCAUGUGAACUCGAUAAAUUCUUUAUGUUGUUCCACAUUUCUUCAUCCUAUCAAAAUUUGAAUGUUUACAAAUUUCUUCUUACAAAAGAACCGUUUUGAUUGGAUUCCAAUAGCCACUCAUUUUGAUGUUAUUUUUUUUGCUUUUGAAGAAAUAUCACCCUUCAAGAGUACUAACCCUUGUCUAUCAACCAUUUGCACUUGGAACAAUGGAAAUACUUGCAUAUAAUGAGUCAAAGAUUGACACAAGGCAGCGCAACUUGACUGGAUACAUCCUUUUCUUCAUUAGUACUUUUGCUCUAUUAGUUUUGGAUUUAGCGACAUCAGGGAAGGGAGGAAUCGGAAAUUUUAUCAGUAUAUGCAUCAUUGUUGCUGCCUGCAGAGUUGCAGAUGCCCAUGUUCAAGGUGGAAUGGUUGGAGACCUAUCCUUCAUGUGCCCUGAGUUCAUCCAAUUAAGAGUAUGUAGCAAAACCUUGCUUGCCUUCAUAAAUAAUUGCCUUCUAUGGAGCCAGAACUUGAAGGAGUUUUUUGUAAGUUGUGUUGUUUGAAGUUUGUGAAGCACUGUCUGUGAUUGGUGACACAAGCCGUGCCUUGCCACAUAAUGCUUUCCAAACUACAAAGUCAAACCAUCCAAAAUUACUGAUAAGAAAUCAUUUGAGAUGGAUGCAGUCGUGCACGAAACUAAAUUGUACAAGACUAAUUGGCACUAUAAGCAUUUUGGGAAGAAUUAUAUAAUUUUGGAUAGAUGUGUAUGGAAAAGAUUUGGGUAGACUAGUAGUUAUAUUUUUGGAUGGGUGUGUAUGGUAAAUAUUUGGAUAGACUACUAGUUAUAUUUUUUGAAAGAUGUGCAUGGAUGAAAACUUAAAACAUAAUAAUAAGAACUUGUUAUCUUUUAAAUUUUUAUGCUAGAUGAAUGUGAAUUGAAUGAUUAUAUAUA